rnacentral:lncRNA from 1 species
AUCAAAUAUCAAAUAUGUCUUCUUGUCUCAAUCUAUGAGUUCACUCAAAUGUAUCUAUAUAUCGCUAUCUAUAUCUGCUUCGCUUAUAGACUAUCAAGUGUAUGUAUGCUUUUAAAUGUGUAUAAAAGUGUAUUAAUUUACAUGCACUGCAAUGCACAAAGUAGGGUAAGUGUCGGGCAAGGCAAGGGAAAAUUUAUUAAAAUGUGAAAGGUCAAGGUCAAUCACAGGUUCAUAUCAACAUUCAAUCAUACAUACGCACACGUAGACAUACAAAUAAAAUAAAU